rnacentral:rRNA from 1 species
CACGUAGGGCGCAAGCGUUGUCCGGAAUUAUUGGGCGUAAAGAGCUCGUAGGUGGUUUGUUACGUCCGCUGUGAAAUCCUAGGGCUUAACCCUGGGCUUGCAGUGGAUACGGGCAGACUAGAGGUAGGUAGGGGAGAAUGGAAUUCCUGGUGUAGCGGUGAAAUGCGCAGAUAUCAGGAGGAACACCAAUUGCGAAGGCAGCUCGCUGGGACGUGACUGACGCUGAGACGCGAAAGCGUGGGGAGCAAACAGG